GGCCUGCGCGGCCGGCCGGGAGCCCCCGGGCCUCCUGCCUCCUCCGCCGCCGAGGCGCGGGGCCUCUUCCGCGGGGGCGGGGAGGCCCGCCGGCGUCCGAGUCGGAGGAGGAGGAAGCGGAGGCCAGAGUUUCCUCGCCGAGAGAGGCCGUGGUGGGCGGCCGGCGGGGCGCGGCGCGGGUCGGGCGGGCGCGGGCCGGGGGCGCGAGGCGCGGGCAGCGGCCGCCUGUGUGCUCCGGUCGCCGCGCCGCUCGGUGUUGAUUCCUCCCCAGCUGCUGUCCCUAAUGGAGUCCGGCGCGCGCGUCACCGGAAAUGCCUGCACUGCGCUCGCCCACUUCCGGCGGCAGGUGCGGCGCUGUCAGCGUGUGCGGCCGCCCUGUCCUCCCCGCGGGCCUCGGCUUCGCCCGGCCCGGGUUCUGGUGGGUCCCUGCCCGGCCGCCCUGCCUGGCCGUCUCCCGGUUCCGGCCCGCCCUGGGUCCGGCCCGGCCUGACCCCGAGGGGCACGCCCGCUCCUGGUUCCGGCCCGCGCAGGUUCCGCCCGAGGCCGGGUCGCCCGCGGGUCCGCCCUGAGAUGAGGCCGCGGCCUGCGUGGGUCCGGGCCGCCCGGGGUCGCGGCUCGCGGACCCCGACCCGCGUCGGCAGCCACGGCCUGUUCCGACCUGGCCUCGAAACUUCGGGCGACCUGUGACCGACUUGGGUAACCUGGCCUGGUCUUACUAGAAACCUGAAUUUCUGAAGCCCACGCGCACACACAUCCCUGUCUGUAUUCAGUCCCACACUGCCUGCCUGUUGUCUGCACUCUGGGUCUUUCUAGAGCCAGGUUUCAGGACCACUUGCACAGUAUUAGGGAGACAGCCUGGAGAUCAUCUGUCUGUCCAUCUAUCCCUGCGGAUCUGAGUGUCCACACCCUGUGCGCCUGGGCCAGUCAGUGUGCAGAUGUGGCUAAGGAUGUCACCAUCACACACAGGAAACUACCUGCUGGGGCUGUUUCUGAACUCUUCCAUGAGCCUGUCCCUGUCCCUUUAGGCACCAUCUGGCAAAGCUUGUGCUAGUACCAUGCUGGCUCAGUUGCUGACACUUGCAGUGUAAGCCUUGCAACUUUCCUUUUUUUUAGAAGAUCAUAUUGGUUUUUUUGCUGGCCCUUUGUGUUUCAUGUAAAAUAUAGAGCCAUUUUGCUAAUUUCCACAAAAAUUGCUGAGAUUUGAUUGGAAUCACAAUAAAUCUUAGACCAGUUUGAGAACCGAACCUGUACACUAGUGCAUUUUUGGGUCUGGGAAUACAGCAUGUUUCCCUGCUCCUCCAGCCUUCUUUAAUUUCUCCUAGAAUAUAUCGUGGCUUUCUGUGUAGAAGUCUCACACAUCUUUUAUUAGAUUUAUGCCUGGGCAUUGGAUGUUUUUUUGAUCCUGACGUAAACAGUGUUGUGUUUAAGUUAUUUUCCUCUCCCUGUUCUGCUGCUGGGAUGAUUCGACAGGCCCUUCACUGACAGAGGUCAUGUGAAAGCCCACGUCAGGAUGAGCUCUACUUUUGGAUUUAGUGUGUUUUACCAGCCUAUAUUUGCCUUCCACUUCCAAAUAGCGAUACAGCUGGCGUCUGUUUUUUUCAGAGUGUCUGGCCCCAACCUCUCCCCCGGCACAGCUGGAAAGAGGGACUCCUGAAGUCCGGCUGGAAGGAGGCCCCAAGCUGAACUGGACCUCAGGGAGCACAGCUGGCUGGACCCACUUGACCGUGUAGCAAAGCCAGGGAGGAGCAGCGGCCUCACUGCCGUGGACUCCGGACUUUUGGACACUGGUCUCAUGAGGGUCAGGGGGUCAAGUAAAAGUGAGAAGAGCUGUAGCUGUCGGACACUAAUUUCAGAGAACACGGCACAGCUGUGCGGCUUUGCCGCCCUGUAGUUUCGUGUUAUGAAGACAGGGCAUUGUCCUCACCUUGUAAGGGGGCUCCUGCAGCUUUGGGGCCUUGGCAGGGCAGCGGGGACCACAGGGCUGGUGGGUGGUCAGGGGGGUCGGCUUGUAGUUAGUGCUGGCAUUUUCUAGCUAAUUUAAACAUUAACUCAUGUCAUCAGCAGAAUUACCCCCACGAGGGUAGGGUAGAUCUCCUGCCACUUCCUUGAUGAGGGUAGAACAGGCUCAGAGAGGCCUACAGCUUGCCCAGGCUCACACAGCUCGCAGUGACAAGGGCAGGGUCCAGGCCCUGCUUUACACCAGGUAGCCUGUCCUGCGGGCUGGGGGCCCUGCGGGUCUCUGGCCCCAUCGUGGCUGUGCUUGCCCUCAGAGCCCAUGAGGUCAGAAGUGUCGGGGGUGGCAGAGGGCUGCAGCUAAAUUAGCAGUUAAAGUUGAGCAGAGGGGGCACAGGUGAGGGGACUGGAACCUGAUCUUUAGAUCUGAUUUACAGCCCAGGAAACUAAGUCCACUGAUUGUUCAGUGUGAUCACCUUAAAAUUCCCCUGGAGUAAGUAGGAUCCUGCAUUCUGGUCGGCUCCUCCCCAGGCAACAGGCACAGCUAUAUUUAGCGCCAUCCAUCCGGAGCUGCUGUGGUGGCCGGGCAGCGUGUGGCUCCAGGAGUGGCUGCCACGCACCCUGGUGGUGGAGAGGGACUGGCGCUCAGGCUGGGUCCGCUGAGCUCAAGGGGGAAGCAGCCGUGUGCAGAGCACGGACGCUGCUCCGGCCACAGAGGCAGGCAGACUCCUCAUGGAGGCCGGCCGCUCCCCCUGAGAGAAACCAGAACCUGCGGUUUCCCUCCCACAGCUCCAAGCCCUACUGACUCUGCCCUCUUAAUAGCUUCCUGAGGCCUCCUUGGCUUCCUCGCUGCAGUUUGUAUCCCUCACAUUUUUUUCACCUGGAUGAGCAACAGCCUCCUAAAUGCUGUGUUCUGUUCUUUAAUUAGUUCCCUUCGCUGUCACCAAAAAUAGCUCCAUAAGGCAGAAAGCCAUUAUGUCACUCCCCUACCAGACCUGUCUCGGCAGCUGUCACGCUGAGGAGCACUCUGACGUCCAGCCCCAGCUGCUCUUGCCCGGCUGCACCAGGUGCUCCGGGCCGCCUCCUUCUGCACCCUCGCCUGCCCUGUGGGGACCCUGACACCUCCACUCAGGCUACACCUCAGUGCACCAGGCCGAACUCUGAGCCAAGGCCCUGGAGGGAGACAGCACAUCCUCGCUCAGCUCACUGCAGCACUGUGCAGACGCCUGCAGCACGGGUCCUUCACCCGUCCAUUCUGUCAGAAUUUUUCAAGCAUCUGCCAUAUGUGAGAAGAUGCUGGGGAGUGUUCUGGGAAUGUGUGGUGAACAAGACACGAAGCCCUGACUUCCGUGGCACUUCCAUUCUUACAAGCCCAUCCAGAGGAGUUUUAAGUUUACAGCGGAAUGGAGUGGAAACUACAAAGUGAUCCUGUGAAGGCCGCCGCCUCCCGCAAGUCCCAGGGCCCUCAUCACCAACGUCCGCACCAGAGCAGCCCGAUUGUCAUCGCCGUGGACCUGCACGGACACAUGGGGGCCACAGGCGGCCUCGAGGUGCGCAGUGAUCCACUCGCUCUACGGCUUUGGAUGAUCACCCAGCACGAUAGCAUCGAACUGCCGUAAAGAUCCUCCUGUCGUGCUUAGCCUGAGACAAAGUGGCUGUGUGGCUGGGCAUCGCCACCAACGCUGAAGCUGUGCAGCUCCCGCACACCCUGCAAACACUGGAGACGGGAGCUGGCGCUGUACCUGCACCCCAUCUGCCCUGGUGGACCAGAAUCCCAUAACCUCGGAUAUGUAAUUUUCAUUUUUCAUUAAGUUGAAAUAAAUGCACUAGUUAAAAUAAGUUAAUUACUUUCAGACAUCUUGUCUUAGUGACUUUCUCAUGUUUGAGACACGAUACCAGAUACCCACAGCU
rnacentral:lncRNA from 1 species